UUAGGGUUUGAUCCUGGCUCAGAACGAACGCUGGCGGCAGGCCUAACACAUGCAAGUCGAGCGCUACCUUCGGGUGGAGCGGCGGACGGGUUAGUAACGCGUGGGAAUAUACCCAGUUCUAAGGAAUAGCCACUGGAAACGGUGAGUAAUACCUUAUACGCCCUUCGGGGGAAAGAUUUAUCGGAAUUGGAUUAGCCCGCGUUAGAUUAGAUAGUUGGUGGGGUAAUGGCCUACCAAGUCUACGAUCUAUAGCUGGUUUGAGAGGAUGAUCAGCAACACUGGGACUGAGACACGGCCCAGACUCCUACGGGAGGCAGCAGUGGGGAAUCUUAGACAAUGGGCGCAAGCCUGAUCUAGCCAUGCCGCGUGAGUGAUGAAGGCCCUAGGGUCGUAAAGCUCUUUCAACUGUGAAGAUAAUGACGGUAGCAGUAGAAGAAACCCCGGCUAACUCCGUGCCAGCAGCCGCGGUAAUACGGAGGGGGUUAGCGUUGUUCGGAAUUACUGGGCGUAAAGCGUACGUAGGCGGAUUAAUAAGUUAGAGGUGAAAUCCCAGGGCUCAACCCUGGAACUGCCUUUAAAACUGUUAGUCUUGAGAUCGAGGGAGGUGAGUGGAAUUCCAAGUGUAGAGGUGAAAUUCGUAGAUAUUUGGAGGAACACCAGUGGCGAAGGCGGCUCACUGGCUCGAUACUGACGCUGAGGUACGAAAGUGUGGGGAGCAAACAGGAUUAGAUACCCUGGUAGUCCACACCGUAAACGAUGAAUGCCAGACGUCAGCAAGCAUGCUUGUUGGUGUCACACCUAACGGAUUAAGCAUUCCGCCCUGGGGAGUACGGUCGCAAGAUUAAAACUCAAAGGAAUUGGCGGGGGCCCGCACAAGCGGUGGGGCAUGUGGUUUAAUUCGACGCAACGCGCAGAACCUUACCAACCCUUGACAUACUUGUCGCGGAUUCCAGAGAUGGAUUCCUUCAGUUCGGCUGGACAAUGUACAGGUGCUGCAUGGCUGUCGUCAGCUCGUGUCGUGAGAUGUUCGGUUAAGUCCGGCAACGAGCGCAACCCACGUCCUUAGUUACCAGCAUUUAGUUGGGUACCCUAAGGAGACUGCCGGUGAUAAGCCGGAGGAAGGUGUGGACGACGUCAAGUCAUCAUGGCCCCUACGGGUUGGGCUACACACGUGCUACAAUGGCAUCUACAGUGAGUUAAUCUCCAAAAGAUGUCUCAGUUCGGAUUGGGGUCUGCAACUCGACCCCAUGAAGUUGGAAUCGCUAGUAAUCGCGGAACAGCAUGCCGCGGUGAAUACGUUCCCGGGCCUUGUACACACCGCCCGUCACACCAUGGGAAUUGGGUCUACCCGAAGGUGGUGCGCCAACUAUUUAUAGGGGCAGCCAACCACGGUAGGUUCAGUGACUGGGGUGAAGUCGUAACAAGGUAGCC
rnacentral:rRNA from 1 species